GACGAACGCUGGCGGCGUGCCUAACACAUGCAAGUCGAACGGAAAGGCCCUGCUUUUGUGGGGCGCUCGAGUGGCGAACGGGUGAGUAACACGUGAGUAACCUGCCCUUGACUUUGGGAUAACUUCAGGAAACUGGGGCUAAUACCGGAUAGGAGCUCCUGCUGCAUGGGGGGGGUUGGAAAGUUUCGGCGGUUGGGGAUGGACUCGCGGCUUAUCAGCUUGUUGGUGGGGUAGUGGCUUACCAAGGCUUUGACGGGUAGCCGGCCUGAGAGGGUGACCGGCCACAUUGGGACUGAGAUACGGCCCAGACUCCUACGGGAGGCAGCAGUGGGGAAUAUUGCACAAUGGGCGGAAGCCUGAUGCAGCAACGCCGCGUGCGGGAUGACGGCCUUCGGGUUGUAAACCGCUUUCGCCUGUGACGAAGCGUGAGUGACGGUAAUGGGUAAAGAAGCACCGGCUAACUACGUG
rnacentral:rRNA from 1 species